rnacentral:misc_RNA from 1 species
AAAAAAAAAAAAAAAAAGAGCACAAUAUAUAACAAGGGUUUUGUAGUUCCUAGAAACCCCAACUGAUGUAGAAUCUUAAAAGGAACCCAAACCCUGCCAUAUCUGCAGAUAACACAACACAAUAAAUUACACCACGACUUAACUGGUUCUCAAAAGAAUAUAAAUGUCUUGCAAAUGCCGGAAAACCUUGGUUCUGGGAACCCAGUAGAGAGAGCUUUUAUUGUUGAGCUGAAAGGAGAUUCCUAAUUUAACGAGGAAAACCACAUAUGUAUCAUCAAGCUCAUUCCAAGGCAGUCAACACAGGUAAUUAAGUACAUAGCUGGUUCCUUCAAUUAGAAGCAUCACGGCUGUAAUACUGAUCCAGGGUCUUUGCAGGGAUACGAUGGAGAAGCUCACGAGGGAAGAUGCGAAGGAGUGUCCAAGCUAAAUCAAGCGACUGGAAUAUGUUGCGGGUGUCAUAGGCUCCUUGGCUAACAAACUUCCUCUCAAAUUUGUCAAGAAACUCUAAGUAAAGCAGAUCCUCAGAAGACAGUGCUUCUUCUCCAACCACAGCU